rnacentral:rRNA from 1 species
AUUCCAGCUCCAAUAGCGUAUAUUUAAGUUGUUGCAGUUAAAAAGCUCGUAGUUGGAUUUCGGAUGGGUUUGACCGGUCCGCCUUUGGUGUGCACUGGUCGCGCCUAUCUUGCUGUCGGGGACGCGCUCCUGGCCUUAAUUGGCUGGGACGCGGAGUCGGCGAUGUUACUUUGAAAAAAUUAGAGUGUUCAAAGCAGGCCUAAGCUCUGAAUACAUUAGCAUGGAAUAACGCUAUAGGACUCUGGUCUUAUUGCGUUGGUCUUCGAGACCGGAGUAAUGAUUAAGAGGGACAGUUGGGGGCAUUCGUAUUUCAUUGUCAGAGGUGAAAUUCUUGGAUUUAUGAAAGACGAACUUCUGCGAAAGCAUUUGCCAAGGAUGUUUUCAUUA